rnacentral:rRNA from 1 species
UACGGAGGGUGCUAGCGUUGUUCGGAAUUACUGGGCGUAAAGGGCGCGUAGGCGGCCGUUUGCGUCGGAUGUGAAAGCCCGGGGCUCAACCUCGGAACGGCAUUCGAUACGGGACGGCUGGAGACCGGGAGAGGAGAGUGGAAUAGCCAGUGUAGAGGUGAAAUUCGUAGAUAUUGGCUGGAACACCGGUGGCGAAAGCGGCUCUCUGGCCCGGUUCUGACGCUGAGGCGCGAAAGCUAGGGGAGCGAACGGG